UACGAAGGGGGCUAGCGUUGUUCGGAAUUACUGGGCGUAAAGCGCGCGUAGGCGGUGAUCUUUGUCAGAGGUGAAAGCCUGGGGCUCAACCCCAGAAUUGCCUUUGAAACGGGAUCGCUAGAGUCCGAGAGAGGAUGGCGGAAUUCCUAGUGUAGAGGUGAAAUUCGUAGAUAUUAGGAAGAACACCGGUGGCGAAGGCGGCCAUCUGGCUCGGUACUGACGCUCAGGCGCGAAAGCGCGGGGAGCAAACAGG
rnacentral:rRNA from 1 species